UAGCCUAGUGGUUAAGGCAAUGGAUCGCCAAUCCAGAGAUGACAGGUUCGAUUCCCGU
rfam:Aedes albopictus isolate Foshan contig78387, whole genome shotgun sequence.